rnacentral:rRNA from 1 species
AUGGGAACGCGAAGAACCUUACCUAGACUUGACAUCUUCUGCAUUAAUCGUAAUGGAUGAAAUCCCUUCGGGGACAGAAUGACAGGUGGUGCAUGGUUGUCGUCAGCUCGUGUCGUGAGAUGUUGGGUUAAGUCCCGCAACGAGCGCAACCCCUAUUAUUAGUUGCUAACAUUAAGUUGAGCACUCUAGUGAGACUGCCCGGGGUUAACCGGGAGGAAGGUGGGGAUGACGUCAAAUCAUCAUGCCCCUUAUGUCUAGGGCUACACACGUGCUACAAUGGUGGGAACAAAGAGAUGCAAUACCGCAAGGUGGAGCUAAACUCAAAACCCCAUCCCAGUUCGGAUUGUAGGCUGAAACUCGCCUACAUGAAGCUGGAGUUGCUAGUAAUCGCGAAUCAGAAUGUCGCGGUGAAUACGUUCCCGGGUCUUGUACACACCG